GAAACGGAAAGAGCCCAAACCAAGAAGCUUGCUUCUUGGGGUUGUAGGACACUCUAUACGGAGUUACAAAAGAAAGUUAUAAAUGAAGCGGUCUGGAAAGGCCCGCCAAAGACGGUAACAGCCCGGUAGUUGAAAUAGCUUUCCCUCCAGAGUGGAUCCUGAGUACGGCGGAACACGUGAAAUUCCGUCGGAAUCCGGGAGGACCAUCUCCCAAGGCUAAAUACUCCCUAGUGACCGAUAGUGAACCAGUACCGUGAGGGAAAGGUGAAAAGC
rnacentral:rRNA from 1 species